rnacentral:misc_RNA from 1 species
GAUGAAGAACGUAGCGAAAUGCGAUAAGUAAUGUGAAUUGCAGAAUUCAGUGAAUCAUCGAAUCUUUGAACGCACAUUGCGCCCUCUGGUAUUCCGGGGGGCAUGCCUGUUCGGGCGUCAUUACAACCCUCAAGCUUUGCUUGGUAUUGGACAUUGCCAGUUUCUGGCAGGUCUUAAAAUCAGUGGCGGUGCCAUUUGGCUUCAAGCGUAGUAAUUCUUCUCGCUUUGGAGAUCCAAGUGGUUACUUGCCAAUAACCCCCAAUUUUUUCAGGUUGACCUCGGAUCAGGUAGGGAUACCCGCUGAACUUAAGCAUAUCAAUAAGCGGAGGA